GAUGAACGCUGGCGGCGUGCCUAAUACAUGCAAGUCGAGCGAACAGACGAGGAGCUUGCUCCUCUGACGUUAGCGGAGGACGGGUGAGUAACACGUGGAUAACCUACCUAUAAUACUGGUAUAACUUGGGGAAACCGGAGCUAAUACCGGAUGAGCUAUUGAACCGCAGUGGUCAAUAGUGAAAGACGGUGGUGCGGUCACUUAUAGAUGGAUCCGCGCCGCAUUAGAUAGUUGGUAAGGUAACGGCUUACCAAGGCAACGAUGCGUAGCCGACCUGAGAGGGUGAUAGGCCACCCUGGAACUUAGACACGGUCCAGACUCCUACGGGAGGCAGCAGUAGGGAACCUUCGGCAACAGGCGAAAGCUUGACGGAGUAACGCCGCGUCAGUGAUGAAGGCCCCCGGAUCGUAAAAAUCUGUUAUUGGGGAAGAACCACUGUGUCAGUAAACAUGCCCGUCUUGACGGUAACUAAUCAGAAAGCAACGGCUAACUACGUG
rnacentral:rRNA from 1 species